GAUUCCUGGCUCAGGAUGAACGCUGGCGGCGUGCCUAAUACAUGCAAGUCGAACGAGUUCUGAUUAUUGAAAGGUGCUUGCAUCUUGAUUUAAUUUUGAACGAGUGGCGGACGGGUGAGUAACACGUGGGUAACCUGCCCUUAAGUGGGGGAUAACAUUUGGAAACAGAUGCUAAUACCGCAUAAAUCCAAGAACCGCAUGGUUCUUGGCUGAAAGAUGGCGUAAGCUAUCGCUUUUGGAUGGACCCGCGGCGUAUUAGCUAGUUGGUGAGGUAACGGCUCACCAAGGCAAUGAUACGUAGCCGAAGCAUGAGGUUGAUCGGCCACAUUGGGACUGAGACACGGCCCAAACUCCUACGGGAGGCAGCAGUAGGGAAUCUUCCACAAUGGACGCAAGUCUGAUGGAGCAACGCCGCGUGAGUGAAGAAGGCUUUCGGGUCGUAAAACUCUGUUGUUGGAGAAGAAUGGUCGGCAGAGUAACUGUUGUCGGCGUGACGGUAUCCAACCAGAAAGCCACGGCUAACUACGUGCCAGCAGCCGCGGUAAUACGUAGGUGGCAAGCGUUAUCCGGAUUUAUUGGGCGUAAAGCGAGCGCAGGCGGUUUUUUAAGUCUGAUGUGAAAGCCCUCGGCUUAACCGAGGAAGUGCAUCGGAAACUGGGAAACUUGAGUGCAGAAGAGGACAGUGGAACUCCAUGUGUAGCGGUGAAAUGCGUAGAUAUAUGGAAGAACACCAGUGGCGAAGGCGGCUGUCUGGUCUGUAACUGACGCUGAGGCUCGAAAGCAUGGGUAGCGAACAGGAUUAGAUACCCUGGUAGUCCAUGCCGUAAACGAUGAAUGCUAGGUGUUGGAGGGUUUCCGCCCUUCAGUGCCGCAGCUAACGCAUUAAGCAUUCCGCCUGGGGAGUACGACCGCAAGGUUGAAACUCAAAGGAAUUGACGGGGGCCCGCACAAGCGGUGGAGCAUGUGGUUUAAUUCGAAGCAACGCGAAGAACCUUACCAGGUCUUGACAUCUUUUGGAUCACCUGAGAGAUCAGGUUUCCCCUUCGGGGGCAAAAUGACAGGUGGUGCAUGGUUGUUCGUCAGCUCGUGUCGUGAGAUGUUGGGUUAAGUCCCGCAACGAGCGCAACCCUUAUGACUAGUUUGCCAGCAUUUAGUUGGGCACUCUAGUAAGACUGCCGGUGACAAACCGGAGGAAGGUGGGGAUGACGUCAAAUCAUCAUGCCCCUUAUGACCUGGGCUACACACGUGCUACAAUGGAUGGUACAACGAGUUGCGAGACCGCGAGGUCAAGCUAAUCUCUUAAAGCCAUUCUCAGUUCGGACUGUAGGCUGCAACUCGCCUACACGAAGUCGGAAUCGCUAGUAAUCGCGGAUCAGCACGCCGCGGUGAAUACGUUCCCGGGCCUUGUACACACCGCCCGUCACACCAUGAGAGUUUGUAACACCCGAAGCCGGUGGCGUAACCCUUUUAGGGAGCGAGCCGUCUAAGGUGGGACAAAUGAUUAGGGUGAAGUCGUAACAAGGUAGCCGUAGGAGAACCUGCGGCUGGAUCA
rnacentral:rRNA from 2 species